rnacentral:rRNA from 1 species
UACGGAGGGUGCAAGCGUUUAAUCGGAAUUACUGGGCGUAAAGCGAGUGUAGGCGGUGUGGUAAGUCGGAUGUGAAAGCCCCGGGCUCAACCCGGGAAGUGCACUCGAUACUGCCACGCUAGAGUAUCGGAGAGGUUGGUGGAAUUCUCGGUGUAGAGGUGAAAUUCGUAGAUAUCGAGAGGAACACCGGUGGCGAAGGCGGCCAACUGGACGAAUACUGACGCUGAGACUCGAAAGCGUGGGGAGCAAACAGG